GUAAUAGAGUUGAUCAUGGCUCAAGGACGAACGCUGGCGGCGUGCCUAACACAUGCAAGUCGAACGAGGUCCAUCCUUUGGGAGAAGACCUAGUGGCGAACGGGUGAGUAACACGUGAGGAACCUGCCCCGAAGACCGGGAUAACCCUCCGAAGGGAGAGCUAAUACCGGAUACCCCCACCGAGCCGCAUGGUUUGGUGAGGAAAUGGAUUCCGCUUCGGGAGGGCCUCGCGGCCUAUCAGCUAGUUGGUGGGGUAACGGCCCACCAAGGCAUCGACGGGUAGCUGGUCUGAGAGGACGAUCAGCCACACUGGGACUGAGACACGGCCCAGACUCCUACGGGAGGCAGCAGUGGGGAAUCUUGCGCAAUGGGCGAAAGCCUGACGCAGCAACGCCGCGUGGGGAUGAAGGCUCUCGGGUUGUAAACCCCUUUCAGCAGGGACGAAUCAAGACGGUACCUGCAGAAGAAGCCCCGGCUAACUACGUG
rnacentral:rRNA from 1 species